GACGAACGCUGGCGGCGUGCUUAACACAUGCAAGUCGAACGGAAAGGCCCUGCUUUUGUGGGGUGCUCGAGUGGCGAACGGGUGAGUAACACGUGAGUAACCUGCCCUUGACUUUGGGAUAACUUCAGGAAACUGGGGCUAAUACCGGAUAGGAGCUCCUGCUGCAUGGUGGGGGUUGGAAAGUUUCGGCGGUUGGGGAUGGACUCGCGGCUUAUCAGCUUGUUGGUGGGGUAGUGGCUUACCAAGGCUUUGACGGGAAGCCGGCCUGAGAGGGUGACCGGCCACAUGGGAACUGAGAUACGGCCCAGACUCCUACGGGAGGCAGCAGUGGGGAAUAUUGCACAAUGGGCGGAAGCCUGAUGCAGCAACGCGGCGUGCGGGAUGACGGCCUUCGGGUUGUAAACCGCUUUCGCCUGUGACGAAGCGUGAGUGACGGUAAUGGGUAAAGAAGCACCGGCUAACUACGU
rnacentral:rRNA from 1 species